ACAAGGCCCAUUACAUGUAUAUCAGGUUGUAUCAAAUAAGCUGAAGGGGCGUCCGUACCUUGCUUUACCCCCCUACCUGUCUUACUUCUCCCUCGUAUGGGGCCUGGCGCGCGGUCUACAUUGUGUUAGAAGUCGAUUUGUAUGCUUGAUGUACCUUCCCUCCGCUCCGACGGGCGCCAUCUUGUUCUUGUUGAUGCAUUUUUCGACUGUUAGUGUGCGGCUCUUUUUAUUUGAUCUUUCCAUUUUAGAAUUAGUUAAUUUUCAAUGGCUGACAAGAAAGCUUUCCUGUUUUGAUGGAUGGAAUGAUUACAUUUCUUGGAGAAGGGACCUACAUGCUCGUUUAUUCGCACGCGACGCGACAUUUUAAGCUGGAAACGUAUAUUAAUCUAUAGUUUUUCACACACCUCUCUUUCUUACCUUACGUGUUCUUAUAUGCUGAAUUGCUUGUAUGAACUGUGUUUCUCCUUUUAGAUCUAUUUCUCAUCCUUUAGUUAGUGUCUCAAAGGUAAAGCGGACGUUAGCUGUUCAGAUGUUUCUAUCAUUCAUUUUAAUUAAUUCUUAACGUGUUAUGCUCAUUAACCUCUGUUUGUAGUCAAAUAUAUGCUCAGUUUUGUGUUCGAUUCGGUUCUGAUUAGGAGCCGAAAGAAAUUCAUUUUAGAGUAAAUUUCUGACCCCUUUCCAUCACUAUUGCAGGAUUAUACUUGUCAGUGUGAAAGUUCUAGAUAAUAUGAUGUCGCCUAAGAUAAUCUCUGAAUUUUAAGUCAUCCCAUGACAAUUCAGUGGCCCCUUUCGGUGAUCCUCUUAACUUCUAACAACUGUUUCUUCAGCUCUUCGGCUGAUAUAUAGUUAAAGUUGGACUCAAAUGAAGGGUUUUAUUGUCUCAUUGCCACUUAUUUAUAGAUAGCAAAAUGAAACUUGAGGGAAGACUAGGGUGUAUGACUAUACAGGGAAGGGGGGGGGGAGGUGUUAAAGUUAAAACUGUAAACUAGCAUGUCUUGUAUACGAUCUAUCACCUAGAGAUGAAAGAACCCAGCAUAGAACAGGGGGCUCAGUGGCUCCUGGUAGAUUUUGAUGAAACUUCAGUACAUUACAAUGAAGUUUAUCAUCAGCCGGAAGCCAAACAAUUACCUCAUUCCAACAAGUAAAAGCCAAAUUAUUCGCGUUUAAACACAGGCCAAUUUCUGUGCGGCGGAGACAAUUAGGCGCUCCACGUAGCCAUUCUUCGUGCCUGAACACAUCAGACUUUGGAUGGGAAACCCUUUUUCUCCUCCAGGUAGCUGCUCAGAUCAGAUCGGGCAAUGAGAUAUAGAGUCCUCUAUCUCUUGCACCUCACCUCUGAAAUUACUGAAGAGCUACUGAAACAGAAUCGGCAGAUGCGGGGAGAAGGGGAGCGUACAGCCUUUGCACCUGUCUAACGUAUGAACACCUAACUGCGUGUGAGGUCUGAUCGAAAACGCCUAACAGCCAGAGGAGAGGGGAUUUGUAAGUCCUCCGUCAUGCUGUGAUAUUAUAGAAAACAGUCCGGGUUCAAUGGCUAAUAUCUUGACUUCUACUCGUUAGAAUAAGGUAAUUGUUUGGCUUUGUGUUGAUGAUGAACUUCAUUUUAAUCUAUUAAAGUUUCAUCAAAACCUACCGGGAGCCACUGAGCCCCCUGUUCUGUGCGGGAGUCGUUGUCCCAACAUUUAGAAAAAACCAUCAUUUUUUCAUCUUGUAUGCAUGACAUUGGUCCAUUUUGAAAUUUUCAUCCAGUAUGAGUCAGUAAAGUCCUUUUUUUUUAUUGUGUCAUUCGAAAGUAGUAAGUGACCGAAGCUUACAGUUUUUCUCCUAAAUUUUUUUGAUGACUGCAAACGGGAGAAAAGUUUAUUCGAAAGUGCCUAAAAUUAGGGUGGCCUAAAACGGCGUUGGAACCGCGCGCUCGUAGGUUUCUAAUGUACACGUCACGAUCAAUAUGGAGGCGGAAUGCGUAGUGGAAGAAUACACAGCGGCGUUGCGUUGGUGGCGGUAUGUUUUUGUUGGUCAAUUGGAGGUUAUUUAGGUUACUUUGUUUGAGAUUCAUAUCCAUUGUUCUUAAUUCUCGAAGCUAUUCAAUCAGAAUGCGACACAGAUGUAUGUUGGAUAUGAAACAUUCACAUAGAACUUACUUAACCUCAAACGAGAAAUCGUGAUGUCAACAUCGGCAGCGUGGCGGCAGUGAGCAGGUGGGUUUUGCCGACUGGCGACUUGGACGGUCAACCGUUGGAAUUCGGCGAUUUACCCCGAAUCUCCACCGCGGCGGUGCGUUUUCGGGGGUUCGGCACUCUCAACGUUGUGACGGACCGCCGCCAUAUUUGUUUACGAAACCAAGCCUACCGAUCGCAUGCCCAAGCAUCGUGUGCUGAUCGAUUAUAGUAUAAUAAUUCAAAAUUAAUUUUAUCGUUUCAGUCGUUCCAUUUUAGCCUCAAUAAGCUAAGCUCACCGUUACGCGAACCUGGACCCGGGAAAUCUAACUGGAGAGGUCUUGUGCCUGCGGGGAGGGAGUUGGGCGCUGCUGACACACUUCACAGUGAAAUUGACCAAAAUUGUCCCAGAAAAAUGUUAGUACUCUCACUGAAUAAGGGGGAGGGGACAAUC